ACUCCUACGGGAGGCAGCAGUGGGGAAUUUUCCGCAAUGGGCGCAAGCCUGACGGAGCAAGACCGCGUGAGGGAGGAAGGCUCUUGGGUUGUAAACCUCUUUUAUCAGGGAAGAAGAUCUGACGGUACCUGAUGAAUCAGCAUCGGCUAACUCCGUGCCAGCAGCCGCGGUAAUACGGAGGAUGCAAGCGUUAUCCGGAUUUAUUGGGCGUAAAGCGUCCGCAGGUGGUUUUUCAAGUCUGCUGUUAAAGCGCAGAGCUUAACUCUGUAACGGCGGUGGAAACUGAGAGACUAGAGUAUGGUAGGGGUUGCGGGAAUUCCCAGUGUAGCGGUGAAAUGCGUAGAUAUUGGGAAGAACACCAGCGGCGAAAGCGCGCAACUGGGCCAUUACUGACACUCAUGGACGAAAGCUAGGGGAGCGAAAGGGAUUAGAUACCCCUGUAGUCCUAGCUGUAAACGAUGGGUACUAGGUGUUGACCGUAUCGACCCGGUCAGUGC
rnacentral:rRNA from 1 species